rnacentral:rRNA from 1 species
CCUACGGGCGGCAGCAGUGGGGAAUAUUGGACAAUGGGGGCAACCCUGAUUCAGCCAUGCCGCGUGUGUGAAGAAGGCCCUCGGGUUGUAAAGCACUUUCAGUGAGGAAGAACGCCUGGUGGUUAAUACCCAUCAGGAAAGACAUCACUCACAGAAGAAGCACCGGCUAACUCCGUGCCAGCAGCCGCGGUAAUACGGAGGGUGCGAGCGUUAAUCGGAAUUACUGGGCGUAAAGCGCGCGUAGGUGGCUUGAUAAGCCGGUUGUGAAAGCCCCGGGCUCAACCUGGGAACGGCAUCCGGAACUGUCAAGCUAGAGUGCAGGAGAGGAAGGUAGAAUUCCCGGUGUAGCGGUGAAAUGCGUAGAGAUCGGGAGGAAUACCAGUGGCGAAGGCGGCCUUCUGGACUGACACUGACACUGAGGUGCGAAAGCGUGGGUAGCAAACAGGAUUAGAUACCCUGGUAGUC